UGGAGGCCAAUCAGCUAAAACCGUCUCCCCUCCCCACCCCCAGGCCAUGGAGCGCUUUGUCUACCCUCCCUACAGCGUGUACCAGGGCUAUGGGAGCACCUUCACCCCCAGCCACAACGUGGCCCCAAGGCCACCCUCCAAGCAGAAGCAGCCUAGCUGGAAGCAGAGCAAGAGCACCCCCAACCCCUACCGAGGGGUCCAGUCGGCCCCUUCGUCAGCCCCGUCGCUGGCCUCGCCGGACUAUCUGGACACCUACAAGCGGGCGCAGCUGAAAGCGCUGCUCUCGCAGGUCAGCCCAGGCCUCACCCCGCGGCUCCGCAAAGCCAACACCAAAGAGAUUGGCGUGCAGGUGAACCCGCGGGUGGACGCCGCCGUGCAGUGCUCGCUCGGCUCCCGCCCGCUCCAAGCCGUUCGGCCCCAAAGCCCCUCCGGGCGCUUCAGCCGGGAGCCGCCGCUGCCGGCCGUCUACUCGCCCGUCUUGGGCCGCCGCCUCUUCACCUUGCCCGAAGCGGUGGUGGAACCCAAGGAGCCGCAGGGCGAAGCGCCCGCGUCGAAACAGUCACUCGCCGAAGAGGAGGAGGAGGAAGAAGCGGCGGCUGAAGACGAGGAGCUGCCGAAGAGCACAGAGGAAAAGUCUGCCCAGCUGCAGGGCGAAGCAGCAGAGGGCGGCGGCGGAGGCGGCGUCGCCGCUGGGGAGAGCAAAACCACUUUCCAGUUCCUGGAACAGAAAUAUGGUUACUUUCACUGCAAUGACUGCAAGACCAGAUGGGAAAGUGCUUAUGUAUGGUGCAUUUCUGGAACUAAUAAGGUUUACUUUAAACAGCUUUGUCGUAAAUGCCAAAAGAGCUUCAAUCCUUACAAAGUGGAAGCAAUUCAGUGCCAAAGGCAUGCAAAGAGGAAGUAGGCCCAAUGAUGCUUCUACAUACAACAUACAAGCAUACCAUACCAUUCAAUGAUGCCUUCAGCUGCUUGACUUUACUUUUACUUAUUAAGGUUCUAGUAACAGAGAACGAAGGAGCAAAUCCCUGAGGAAGAGCACACUACAGUGGAUGGAAAGGAACUGAGGAAAACAGCGCUGUGGUGCCAAAGAUACAGAGCGAGCUCCACUCAUGAAGGGAGUGGCUACAGAAUGCUUCAAGGAGCUGACAAAUCCUUCUGCAGUGGCUACUGUGCAGGUGCAGAGUCCAAUGUUGGGAAUGAUUCCGGACUACCGCAAAGGUCUACUGGUUUCAGUUAAAUAAUGAAAGGCUAUAAAUAGUUUGGUGAUAGUAUUUUAGGAUUAUCCUGGAGUUCUUCUAUGAGAAUCUUCUAUGGAAAUACUUAUACUGAGGGAUCCAAACAAAAUGGCUUGGUGAGUUAUACAAGUGCCAGAUAUGAGAGAAACACACAUGUUGCUCUUAAAGUUCUUAGUCUGAAUCUGAAAGAUGCUAGGGUGUGCCUUCCGCUGGAUUCAAAGUUUAUACUUCAGGUAAUGUUUCAGAGCAGAAAAACAGGUUGCUUACCUGUAACAGGUGAUGUGGUAGUGAUGCCUCAAUAUUCAUAAAAAUGGGUUCUGCGCCUGCGCAGGACAACUUUAGGUAAUAUUGAUUAGCUCCUUGCGACGCCUUUUAACUGCCUCUGCACAAGCCGUGCAGUACCUAUACUGGCAGUUAGGUGUCUUUUGCUCAGUUUCUGAAUGGCCGUCCGACUGUAUAAAAUGCCAUUGUCAUCCAUAGGUGCUGUUAGCUGGUGUCCGUGUAAAUGUAACAUCUCAGUCAUUCGCAAUCUGUAGAAAUGCAAUGUCUCAAUCACUUGCACUCUGUAGCGGGGCCGGCUGGGAGGGUUUUAUGAAUGUCAAGGCAUCACUACCAGAUCACCUGUUACAGGUAAGCAACCUGUUUAUCUGGAUAGUGAAGCCUCGACAGACAUAAAAAUGGGUGAAUCAUGAGCUGUCCCAGUGGAGGUGGGCAUUGCAAGCUAUUGAAGCACCCUCUUAAGAACGGCCCUGCCAAACUGUGCUGCCUCUACAGAGCGAAGGUCCUGUGCAUAAUUUUUCACAAAGGUUUGGUCCGAGGCCCAGGUGGCCACCAUACAUAUAUCCUUGAAUUUAAUUCCUGAAAGAUGAGCUGCCCUUAGGCAGCAUGCGCCCUUGUUGAAUGGGCUCUAAUAGUGGAUGGUGGAGUGACUCCCUGAAUAUCAUAGGCCAUCUUAAUGAGUUCCACUAACCCAAAGGACAGCUUUUGGUGGGAUGGCUGAAAGCCACGGUUCUUCCCAUUCAAGGCAAUGAAAAAAUGUCUUGUCUUUCUCAACUCUCCCGUUCUUUGCAGGUAGAAAAGGAUGGCCCUCUGCACUUCAGCGGCUCAGUUUGCAGCCCCAACAGAAAUGGAGUGGUAGGCUGUGAUGCCGGAGUCGCCUUAUGUUUUUUCUUUACUGCAUGAGUUGACGGUGAAGAGCACGGGCGCUUCGAGCCGCCGCUUUUUGGUACCGAGGGCUCCUUGAAUAGGCUCGACUUCGAAGCCUUAAGGGAGGUCCCUGCAGCACUAUGAGCCAUGCUCGAGGGUUUAGACUGCGUAUGAGCAGCCCUCGGCAGGGAGGAUGAGGUAGAUGGGCGGAGCGCGUCCUCCAUUAAUGAAACUUUCAGUUGUGCCACCCUGUUCUUCAGAGUCUGUCUCAAAAAUGCCUUACAUAUAGGGCAAGCAGCCAUGGAGUGUUCCUCUUCCAGGCAGAGGAGACAAAGCUGAUGACCAUCCGUUGAGGGGAGCUUAGCCCUGCAGCGAAUACACCACUUAAAGGUGUUUUUCCCCUCAUAGACGCACUCAUGGGCAAAGGAAUCAGUGGCUGUCAGGGUUUAUUCCUUUAUUAUUACUUGUGGCCGUCGCAACAGGGGGAAGUAGGAACACCAUUCAGUGCCACGGUCUUUUGACAAUAUGGGACUGAGCUAGAAACGUUUGAAUUGAAGAGAGCUGGUCUUGUGGCAGCAAGCAUGACUUGUCCCCUUAAGCUAAGCAGGAUCCACCCUAGUUGCAUAUGAAAGGGAGACUAGAAGUGUGAGCACUAUAACAUAUUCCCCUUCGGGGAUGGAGCCGCUCUGGGAAGAGCAGAAGGUUCCAAGUUCCUUCCUUGGCUUCUCCAAGAUAGGGCUGAGAGAGAUUCCUGCCUGCAGCCUUGGAGAAGCCACUGCCAGUCUGUGUAGACAAUACUGAGCAAGAUGGACCUAUGGUUUGACUCAGUAUAUGGCAUCAUCCUAUGUUCCUAUGAAUUUGCCAUUCGUUGCUUGUCGUUCCGAGGUCUAUCCGCGUAUCCGUUAAAAUUAACUAUGUCCAUUCAGGGUUAAGCAAAGAAUGGUUGGGCUGUCCUAAGAUCGUAUACCAAGUUAAACAACAAAAUAUCUUCCGAGGAGCAACGACGUUUCCGAGGUCCGAACACAUCGACGGUCAGAAAGAAACUGAGCAACAGACACCUAACUGCCAGUAUAGGUACUGCACGGCUCGUGCAGAGGCAGUUAAAAGGCAUCGCGAGGAAAUAAUCAAUAUUCCCCGAAGUUAUCCUGAGCAGGCGCAGAACCCAUUUUUAUGUCUGUUGAGGCUUCACUAUCCAGAUCUGAAUUCUAAAGCAAGGAGGGUCUUUAUUCUUUAGUCUCUAGUGGGCAUGGGUGUGGUUCAGGAGCCAGAAGUGUAUUGGGUAACCAAAACUUACACCCUCACUGUUGACCACGUUCGGCAACAAAGUUAGCACCCUCUAGCAGUAAGGAGCAUGUGUGCUUAGUCACAAUAUUACAUAAAAUUGUACAUUUAUAGUAAAUACAGAAUCAAAAAGAUAAAAGUAUAGACUCUCUUGAAAAUUCUUCUAUUACAAGUCAAAUAUUGGGCAUUUUUCUUAGCCAUAUCUUUAUUCCAUUUUGGAAGGGCAGCUAGGUGGCAUAUUUUGGCUAUUGUGGCUGUAUGCAGAAAUUUAGCAUGAAGGCUAUAGCUCAAUUGGUGGAUGUGAUUAAGAUGGAUCAUCUUUUAUAGUGCAACGGACAGGAUUAGGCAGUGUGAAUCAUUCUCUUUUGACUUCGUGUACAGGCACUUAUCAGCAUGUCAGCAUUCACCAUAGUAAUGUAACUAAGGUGGGACGUUAAUGGCUCCGAUCAGGAAUAAUGAUUGUAUUCACAUAUAACGUGAAACCAGAGGAUGGUGAACCCGCAGUUUCAAUUUUAAACAGUAAAUUGCAUCACAGACAUUGGUUCAACCAGAGUCCAGCAACCUCUGGUUAAAGGAGUGGGGAGCCCCCCCAGCUGUCCAGCAAGCUCUGCGGCCAGACUGUGGGCAAAACAUCAGCAUGUCAGCAGAGCGGCCGCAGUUGGCCACAACCUUGAAGGGGUGUGCUGAGCUCAAUCAUGCAUUUUUGGAGUGGCCUGCCUGUCCUAGGCAUGGGGAGGGCAUUUAAAUACCAUGACAUGCCAGUGCUGCUUCUGACAGUAAUGGCACCGUUGCCCUUGUAAAAGCCCUGCAUCAGAAUAGUGCUGCACAAGCAUGAUUUGGGGGGUGGGGGGCACUAUUUCCCUUUUACUCAAGGAAAGGAAAAUGAAGAGUUCCUAGGAAAGCAUAAGUAUAUGAGAGAGGGCAAAGGAUCCUGGGGCAUCCAUCCCACUGUGAUCUAGGAUGCUUUUUUGAGGGAUCACCCCAGCAAAGCAGUGCAUACAGACUAAAUCACACUCCUGCUCCCCUUGCAGCUUAGUGCUAGUGGAUUAUUUCUCCCAUGAGAGGGCCAGUCUACUGGUGAGGACCAUGGGGGGGGGGUUGGGUCUUCCAUCGGACUGCACACUCACAAAUUGAACUAACUCAACAAAGGGGCCCCAUUUGUGUGGGGCCCACACUCUCUCGGGUAAAAGAAAGCACUUUUGCACUGCAACUCCCUCAUACUGGAAGCAGUAAUGGGCUGGAUGAGGGAUAACGAACUGAGACUGAAUCCAGACAAGAUGGAGGUACUUAUUGUGUGGGGUCGUCACUCGGGAAGCGAUAUUGAUCUACCUGUUCUAGAUGGGGUCACACUUCCUCAGAAGGAACAGGUACUCAGUCUGGGAGUGCUUCUGGAUCCACAUCUUUCCCUGGUUCCCCAGGUUGAGGCAGUGGCCAGAAGCGCUUUCUAUCAGCUUCGGUUGAUACGCCAACUGCAUCCGUUUCUUGAGGUUCAUGACCUCAAAACCGUUGGGGCUCUAUAUUGAGCCAGGUACCCUGACAACAUCUCUCCUUGUCUUGGUGAUUGCUGUCAAAGCACGUCUCCUGCCAUCCCAUGUAUACAUGUGCAUCUAUGCUCAAGCCCCAAAACUGUGACCCUGCUUUUCUAGGAUCGCUUGAAAGCAACAUUCCCCUCUCCUGUGAUUCCCCGCAGUGGCAGAUCUGCAGAUGGCGCAAUGCCAGACCAAACACAGGAAUUUUGAAUGGGAGUAAAGAGAUGUCCCCCUACCCAGUGUUCACCACCCCCAUUGGCACACGCGGCCAGGCUCUCCACCAAAUGGAACAUCAAAAAUCACCUAUGGGGGCAUGCUAGGCAUGUGCAUGAACUGGUUCGGCGGUCUUUUACAGACUACCUAACCAGUUCGGAGGUCUGGCUUUUGGGGCAGUUCAGCUGCGGGGAGGGGUUACCUUUAAGGAGCCUGACACUCUUGUGAGAGAGAGCUGUCUGUGGGGUAACAGGGUUGUUUUGUCAUCAUUAGAGAUUUUACCUGACACCCCAAUCCCCAAAAACUGUUCUUCUCAUGAGUUGUGAGGGGGCAUCCCCACGGCCUGGCACUCUCUUGAGCUAGCAUGGUCCAUCCUGGGUCAGCAUCUACCAUCAUCACACAUUGAAUCUUUCCUUUCACUGCAACAAUGCUGAUUCUGAUUCCUUAGGCUCAACCCUCAAGAGAGCCUAAGGAGUGCAAAUGUUCUCAAUGGGGAAGGGGCUGGGGGCUGGGCCCCCCUUCCCCAACAUUUAUGUUUAAAAAAAGAAAGAAAAGAAAUUGGUUGCUCAAGAAUCCCUGGUUUGUGCUGCCUUUUAAACCUGAUCACGGGCACCCACAGCCAUAUGUCCAUGUUCUGGUGCUGUGAUGGGGUGACCUACUUAUAGGAUGACCACCUGGAGUGUUUGUGCUUGUGGACAUUGUCACUUUAUUCUCAGUGAGCGAAGCACUUUGAUAUCUGCCCUGUCAUUCCAUCCCUGUUUCCUCCUGCUUGCCAGGAGGGAGGACAAGGGACAGAGUAAGAAGGGGGAAUAUCCCUGUGUGACUUUGCUGCUUGACAGGCUGACAAGCUUGGGAUGGGAUGUGGCAGCUUUUCUGUUGCUGGGCAACUGCAUUGCUGGAUAGGUGACAGGAGAGGUGGGGCUGGCACUCAGAAAGGUGGCCAGUGAGAAGGACCGCAGGCAUGGAGUGGGCAUCAUGCUGGGUAGGUUGCAGUUUCCAAAACAGAACAAAACUGCGGUUAUGGCUACAUCCAGGUUCAGACUUAAUGCUUCAGCAGCCAAACCGGAAAUCUCAGUAGCAAGCCUUUGUGCAAACCGAAGGGUCAAAUAGGAGUUUUUGCCAAACUGCAGGUUGCUUUCGGCUCAAAACCGUGCACAAAUUCAGACAUAAUGGAGUUCCAAACUCUGCCCCAUUCGACUCUGGUUUCAUAUUACGUCUGAAUUCAGCCAGCAUGUGUAAGUAACCUUUUAAAGAAAGCUGAAACCCCAGCUUUUGGUAGCUUUUGCUUUUGUCCCUCCUCUUCUUCUUUGACAGCCAAUUAGUAGCCUUUCAGCAUUUGGUAAAAGGUUUAUAUGCAUGCAACCUCUGACUGGGAAGGGAACACAGUUGCAUACUAUUUCCCAUCCAGCUAAAGAUGUGCCCUUGGAAAUCUGAUUCUGAAUUCACACAUAUAUAAUUGCCAGCUGGGUAGGGGCAAAUGAGAGUAGAUUAAUAGAACUGUUUCUGGAGCUUUUAUCAAAACAGACACAAAACUAAUAUAUCUGAUUUUGGAGUGCGCACUGAACAUGUAAGCAGGAUUGACUGCUGCAUGCGGAUUCAAAAACAACUGAAAAAAGACCCCUCCCCCCAUGGGCUCUAUAUGCUUUGUACAGUAGUAAUAACUCAUUUCAGACCAAUCAGCACAUACGCAGUCAUAUUUACAUAUAUAUAUGUAUAUAUAUUAUAAUAACCUUUAUAUUUUAGUUAGAUGAUCCUGUUCUGAUCAAAAUACCAACCAAGAGGUACUUCACAAAAACCUUAAGUGUAUUUACAGAGUGAAUCAGAGAUGUAGACAGUGCCUGAAUAAAAGUGUCUCAGAUGUGCAAAAGAUUUACAUGCACCCAUUUAACACUUGACAGCAGUAACUGUAAGGGGGGAAAUGCAAGGGGGG